AACGUGUUCAGAGCAUACAACUAAUUAGAGUUCUAAAAGAAUUAAUAUAAAAUUGAAUAAAUAGAAGGAUGUGGGUCCUACAUCUAGAGGACUCGAAUAUGCCAAUGUGAAAGCGUUGACGUCGGGAUCAUAUACCUCGAUUCUAACUCCUGAAACGGAGCGCAAAACAAGGGUGAGUGGACCAAGUUCAUAUAUAUAUAUAAUACGAAAACAGUUAUGAACAUACUAAUCCCUAGGUUUAUAUAUAAUAAAAAAAAAAUACUAACAUAAUAAGUGAUAGUUUUACUGAAACCCUAGCAUGCCAUAAAACAUCUCAACAAGUAUAACGCGGAAAAACAUCAUAUAAAUCAUCGCGUGUAUCGUCUCGUAGAUCGUCUCGUAAGCGCGGCGUUCUACUAGUAGGAUCACUGAAUAAAUAUAACUCCCGGCCCUAUGCCAACACCGUGGUCUCUGUGCCUAUAGCUAGAGAUUACUAACUCUCGGGCCAAUGCCUGCUCCAUGUCCCACAGCCCGUAGCUAGGGAUUAUUUCUCCCGGUCUAUCUGCCAACACCAGAUCCUCGCCCCAGGCGGCAUAGUGUCCACUAGGUACGCACAAAUAGUUACGCCUCUCAUAAAUAACCACUUCAUAGUAUAAAGUCAUCCAUUAUCUAUACUAUAAAGAGGGGUUUUGAAAACACAUUCUAGUAUCCUAUCGUCAUCCAUCAGAUAGUCUACCAGCUCAUGAUUUUUAUAGAAAAUACUAUAUAUUAAAAUAUAGCUCAAUAUAGGCCAACAAUUAAUUCCUCAGCAAAAACACGAGACGAAAAUCAACAUAUUUCAUAAACAUGCUUAACAUAAAAUCAAAUCAUAAACUCGUAAGGCAUGCUAUUCAUUUAUGCAAUUAAACCAUAAAAUCAUAUAAAUUUUAGAAGGGGUCCACUCACAGUACUUAGCCGCCAAAAACUGCGCUACUAGCGAAGACGGAAACGUCACAAUAAUUGCCCCUAAGCACAUAAAUAACACAUUUAGUGAAACUCUACUCAAACGAUUGAAUUUGGGAAAAAGUCACAAUAAUUGCCCCUAAGUUUAAUGAACUAAAAUAGUUUCCAACGAGACUAAUUUCCUAGAAACUUAGUAGAACGUAGGUUGAGAUACGAAUUGAUGCUAGGAAAUUGAAGGGUCAGAGACAUCCAAGAAAGAACCAGAGACAUCAAUAAUAAAAAUUUUGAGCAUUUUCAUUCACCAAAAGCAAAACAGUUUAGCUAAUGCAAAUUCACAAAUAGAAAAAGAUUUACCUUUAGCUAGCUACUGAUUCAUAACUCGAGCAAUACAUUUAAUGGCAGUCAAGUGGACAAUAAUAUAAAACCUAAACACAACCUGUCAACAAGUCUUCAUAAACCUACAUCAAAUGAAUGGUUGCUAACAAAUCACAAUACUAACCAAGAAAUUUUGUAAGAAUUGCAAAAGAUUUCACAUAAAUCAAAAGCUCUCUGAGCAAUUAACCAAGAAUUUUUGUUAGCUUUCUUUCCAAGACAUUAAAGCUAAAAUAACUUCUUUUUAGACAAGUAUGAAACUUGUUGCUUCGUAACAUCAUUAGCUAAUCCAAAUUCACAAAUAGCAAAGGGCUUUUACUUUUAGCUAGCAACUAAUUCAUAACUCGAGCAAUACAUUCAAGGGCAGUGAAGCAGACAAUAAUAUAAAACCUAAACACAAACUGUCAACAAGUCUUCAUAAACCUACAUCACAUGAAUGAUCAUACCGUUAAGUUAACAAAUCACAAUACUAACCAAGAAAUUUUGUAAGAUUUUGUAAGAAUUGCAAAAGAAUUCACAUAAAUCAAAAGCCCCUGUAUUAACCACGAAUUUUUGUUAGCUUUCAAAAUUGCAAAAGAAUUCACAUAAAUCAAAAGCCCCUGAGGUAUUAACCACGAAUUUUUGUUAGCUUUCUUUGCAGGACCUUGAAGCUAGUACAACCUCUUUUUUAGACAAGUAUGAAACUAGUUGGUUGGUAACAUCAUUAGCUAAUGCAAAUUCACAAAUAGUAAAAGGCUUUUACUUUUAACUAGCAACUGAUCCAUAACUUGAGCAAUACAUUUAAUAGCAGUCAAGCAGAAAAUAAUAUACAACCUAAACACAACCUGUCAACAAGUCUUCAUAAACCUACAUCAUAUGAAUGAUCAUACCGUUAUGUUAAUAUAUCACAAUACUAACAAAGAAAUUUGUAAGAUUUUGUAAGAAUUGCAAAAGAAUUCACAUAAAUCAAAAGCUCACUGAAGAAUUAACCAAGAAUUUUUGUUACCUUUCUUUGCAGGACCUUGAAACUAAUAUAACCUCUUUUUAGACAUGCAUGAACUUGUUGGUUGGUUUAACAUUAUUACCUAAACAAAUUCACAAAUUGCAAAAGGCUUUUACUUUUAGCUCACAACUGAUCCAUAACUCGAGCUAUACAUUUAAUAGCAGUCUAGCAGACAAUAAUAUAAAACUUAAACACAACCUGUCAACAAGUCUUCAUAAACCUACAUCAUAUGAAUGAUCAUAUCGUUAUGUUAAUAUAUCACAAUACUAACGAAGAAAUUUGUAAGACUUUUGUAAGAAUUGUAAAAGAAUUCACAUAAAUCAAAAGCUUACUGAGGAAUUAAACAAUAAUUUUUGUUUGCUUUCUUUGCAGGAUCUUGAAGCUAAUAUAACCUCUUUUUAAAAUUAUAAACCUUGUUGAUUGGUUUAACAUCAUUAGCUAAUGCAAACUCACAAAAUAGCAGAAGGCAUUUUGUCACACCCCGAUGUUUCUUUCUUUUUUCCUUCUUCAUUUAAUGGUGUGACAAAAAAAUAAAAUAAAAUAAAACUACAACUCAAACCAUUCCUAAAUUCAAAUUUUCCUCCUGAUUCGUCCUUACAAGAGUUGAACUCAACCUCACAAAAGAUAUUUCCAUUCCAUAACCCAAGCCUUGAAUAUAUUCGCAAACAUCUUCACUCCAACAUGUAAUGCAAUCCAGUAUUUAUUUAUAAUAGAGAAAUCAUAUGCCAACACCAAGAGUUAAAUAAUCAACUUCAUAAACACCAUCACAAUGAUACUAAUCAAGGAUAUCAAAUUCAUGAUUCAAUAAUAUUGGGGAAGAAAAUCACUUAAUCAAUCAUAAAAACAUAAGCAUACAAACUUGUAAGUGAAUAAUUAACUUAUAUAGUUCUACUUAAUUAUUAAUCUCUAAAUCCCCAACCUUGACUCCCGGCAAUCUUAAAUCUCUUUCCUUAGCUAUCCCGAGCUCUAAGGCACUGUCGAUUCUAAAGCCGAAUGUCAGAGUAAAAGGACAUGACAAACAAACCAAACAUUUAGAAUAUUGUAAGAUAAAAUCACUGUUCAACUUCCCUAACAAAAGGAAACUGCAAAAAGCUAAAGUUUGUUCUAGUUUUGUGGACACAAAACGAGCAAUUUUUUGCCUAAUCAAAUAUCGAUGAAAAUUUAUGAGUUUAUACUGGUUUGAAAGCUUGAAGAACCAUCUUUCCAACGAUAUAAAAUUUGUUAAAAAUCGAGCCUCGAAGUGAGAGAAAUCAUGAGUUAAAACAGCAAGUAUGUGUAGAACAACUGCACCCGAGUUUUACACGGAUUCAAAGGCACGUUUUUUAACAUGGGUUUGACCCAUCAAAUCUCACUGAAAAUCUUCGGAUAAAUACUCGACUUAAAGCUUUUGAAUCCAUCUUCAAUUCUACGGAAAAAGAAUUUGAAAAUAAGCUUUGUAGUGAAAGAAAAUAGGGACGAAAGAAGGCACUACGAAAUUGAAAGAUCUGAAAUCUGCACCUAGAAAAUUACGAACACUUUGAAACUUAGAUUCUUUUGAUUUUCCAUAGCUUCUCACAGGAUGAUAAAAACAUGAAAUAGGUACUAAAAGGGUUUGUUUUCAGAUCCAAAGAGAGAAUACAAACAUGGUAAAUCAAAUUGAAAAGAAUUACUCAAGACACCAAAAAUGAAAGAUCUUACCCUUAAGCUUUCCUCUGCAAACUUGAACCUAUUUCUUUCUUCUUCAGGG
rnacentral:lncRNA from 1 species